UUUGUUGGCUGUGCUGAGAAGGUGGAGUCAGUGCUGUAAGGAGCUGCCUGUGAGAAAGCACCGAGAAGUGUUAAUUCAUGUGAAGAAGCAUUGCUUAGACAGAGCCCUUCUGGGGAUGUAACUGCACAUUGUGAAAUAGUUGGUGGCUGUUCUCACUUAGAAAUUCCCUCCCUACCAUUCUCACACUGAUUUUUCUUCUCUCCACAAAUUGUCACCCUGGGCUAUGCUGGUAUGAUGGUCCAUGAGGGUACACCAUACUUGAAAGACAUUGACAUACUUGACCCCAUUUUAGAGGAUUUGUAUUUUAUGUUUUUGGCAAGCACAAUAUACGGGUGCCAAACACAAAUGCCAUCCCCUCAGCCAGAUAUCAAAGCUGCAAAAAUAUGGUUGCCAUAUUUACUAGGAUUUAGAAACAUUGUUUCAUACAAGGGGGACAUAAGAGAGGGGUCAUUAGGGAACUGGGCUUCUGGCACUUAAAAUCAGGAGUAUCAUGAGCUUGUAAACAAGUGUUGAGAAAGCCAGUAUGUUCAGAAGAACAUGUGGUUUGAAGUGGAAAUUGUGGUACUGGUAAUGCUGUGGGAUUUCAGAUACAUCAGUCAAAGCAGAGAAAAAUCAAAUAGGCUGCCAGUUAAAUAAGAAAAUGUGGCAGAAACAACUGCUUAAAAACUAAGAUAAACGAUGAGGGAAACAAGUCCAGCCCUAAGUGGAAGAAGUGGCAUAAUACACUUACCAGAAGCUUGACAGAAGAAAGUUAAUCCACAGAUUAUAACAUCAAAACAAAAAAUUUGUUGAUGGAGGUGAAAAUUAAGUAGGCCUUCAUGGUGGUGAUGUGAUGUUACUUACUUCUUAAAAGUUAGAAUAUAAUGAAGAAACUCUCCGCUUCAGCAAACAACUUUAUGAAUUCACGUGGACUGAAAUACAAAGCCUAAAUCAAAUGCACCAUUUGGUUGGUAACUGCCCAGCAAGGAUGGUAACAUUGCAUUCAGUAUCCUAAGACUACCAGAGAAGCCGCCAAAUCAGCACACUGGAAGCAUUGGGCCAACACAGCCUGUUUAUGAAGAAAAGUGUGGAAAAUGGCAGAAGAAAACCCACAUACUAGCGAGGAAGUGACAAGCGUAAUAAAAGCAAGACAUGCUCUGUGAAAAACCAUAUGUCCGUAUUAAAAGAAUAGAAAGAAUUGUAUAGUCUGGCAGGUAACAUGUAAAAGCACAAGAAGACAAGAAGAAUUUUGAGGAGCAUCUAGCAGAGGAAUUCCCAAGUAGCAACAAAUCUUUCUUCCAGUAUAUCAAAGACAGGAACUAAGCCAAAAUUUGAAGGGCAAGGGUAGUAAUCAUGGUAUGAAGAGAGUACUCAGGAGGAUCAGGCCAUUGCAGAGGGGUUACGUUAAUUAUUUUCAUCUGCACUCACUUCACAAGAAACAGGGCAGAUUCUCAUCUAAGGUUGGUCAUUGUGAGAGACUCCUCAGAGGACCCACAUGGAAAAGAAGUGGCUACAUAAAACAUGGAGAAAAAAGGGCACACAAAGAGUAGCACAUUGCCAGGACAAGGUGGUGUUCAAGACAGAGUUCGGGAGGAAUUCAAGCCUGAAAGAAUUGAAUGACUCCUAAAACAUGACAGGUAACUUUCACAAAGCUGCCUUGGAACCCGAGGGCAACUGAAAAUCUGAAGGCAACUUUUGAAACACUUAAGAUGAGACAUGGGGAAGUACAAAAUUCCUAAGCAUUUUUAAAAGCAUGAUCUGUACCAUGCAGAAUAGCUAUCAAGAGCAGUGUUAUUUAAUAUCCUGAUAAAAUGAUGGGGUUUUUGGCCUUUCUUUUGAACAUGUUACAUGGAUAACCAUGAUGUGGUUGAUGUGGCUUACUUGGUUUUUCCAAAACUCUUUUGAGAAAUGUGUUACUAGAGGCGUUUAGAGAAACUUCGCACCAUGUCAUGAGAGGGAAGACCCUUGUUAAAUUCUUAGAAGACAGGAGAAAUUGGUCAAUUUUCACUGUAGAAGGUAGUGACAGAUCUGUGCUAGAGCCUUUGCUGUUCAACACGGUUUUAUAGUACUUUGAAAAGCAUGUUAGCACUGAGGUAAUCAAGUUUGAUGAUACUAAUUUAUUCAGGGUAGUAAAACUUGGUGACUGAGCAAUAAAAUGACAACUGAAAUUCAGUACAGAUAAAUGUUCAGUGAUGUACAUAAAGAGAAGAAAUACUGAUUUCACUUCCAUGAGCUGCCUGGAACAAGAGUUGGGAGUUAUGAUCUAUAGUCACACAGAAACAUCAGUGUUCGGUAGUGUUCAAAAGAGUAAAUCAAAUAUCAGGAGCCACUAGGCGAUGAAUGAAGAACAGAAGAGAGACUGGUGGUCUGCCACAAUGUAAAUCUGUGGUUUUGCCCUGUCUGUAAUAUGUUGUGCAGUUCUGGUCUUGUCCCUCCCUACCACCUCAAAAAAAGUACAAGGGACCAAAGAACCUUUAGUUAAGUUCAGCAAGGAUGGUCAGAGACAUAGUUUAACAUCCAUGUUAGGAAAUUACUUAAGCUGCAGCUGUGAAAGGACACAUUCUCAGUGACAAGGGGAAAACUGUGGAAUAAGGAAGCAGGAAGAAACUAAAUUAUUAGGGGCAACAAAUAAUUAUAAUCACAAUAAAAAAGGAGUUGAAGGAAAAGUCAGAGGGCAAAAACCAUAGAAACAGGGAAAUAGAGAUACUAAAGCAGUAAGCAAAAUGCUUCUUGAUAGCACAUUGAGGGCAUCCAAAGACAUGGUGAAUGCUGCUCAGCCAUUCUGUACACAGAGGCUUAGCAAGGUGUAUGACCACAACCCAACACUAAAUACCGAAAAAUUUCUUUUUUAGUUAAAUACAGUUAGUUUGAUACUCAUUUACAUUUGGAAUUUUUCAGGUAUUGUAUGUUUUAACUAAUUUAACUGUUUUGUUGAAAUGCAAAUGAUAAGCAGAUAUCUUUUAAUGUAUUCCGGAGUCCAGCUUCACAUGAAGCUUUCAGAUGACCUCCUGGGACUCUAAACUAAACAAACUCCAAACUUUCCAAUUUAAAUCAGGAGGACAGCUAUUUGAACUCAUUUUUCUGUAUAAUCUUUAUCAGUAUACCAGCUCAAAAAUACAUCAGUCAGUCAGCAUUAUAACAAGACUUUAUUUUAAUAUUGUUCAUUAUUUAAAUAAUAAAAAGGAACUGAUUUAUCUAUUUUCUAUCUUAAAAUCCCAUAGGGCUGAGACAACCAGGUAAUUUCCAACCAGUUCAUGAAUGCUAGUCUAAUAUAGACCAGUAGUGGCUACAUUAUGGUGAGCUGUGGUUAAAAUCACUGCAGGUAUUCUAGUUAAUGAAGUGUUAGUUGGGUGGCAGAUGAUCAUGGUGUGUUGGGGUCAUGUGAAUCAUCAGUACAGGAGAGGGAAGGCGUAAAUGCUGAGCUGUGUGACAUGAAAGAAGGACAUUGAGGAUUGUCCUUGUAAAUUGUAGUCUUCGCCACAUUCAGCAUCUGCUGACCUGGGCCAAAAUGUAGUUGCCAAUGUGCAGGUGGAAAGCUCUGUAUGCUGCUUGUAGGUAACUCAUAUUUAUUUUAUAGACAUUGUAACAGCAAAGGCCAAAGGGUUUACUGAAUUUAGAAAACUUGGGGAAAUUCAGAGUCAAACCCCCAAGUUUUCUGAUUCCAAAUUCUCUUCAGAGGUGAUGAAGGGAAGAAGGUGUAAAAUCAUCCCAAAUAAAAACCAAAAAUUUCAUAUGUAGGUCUUAGCAGAUGAGCAGUCAGUCAGCAAUUGUAAUCUUAGGGAUGCCAAUAAUUUCAAACAACAUUUAUUUUAUGAAGAAUAUUUCUUAUGUAACAUGAAUGGAGACAAAUCCCUUCUAUGAGAAGAACAAAUGAUUUUGUAAUAGCAUAUGUCUGGACUCAUCUUCCAGGUAUGCAGUCACCUUCACAGAAGCCUGAUGCUGACUUUCUGUGGGGAAGGUUAGAAGAACUACAGGCUCAUCUUCCGUAUGAGUUAUCUCCUGGGCUACCUAGGUCAUUGCCAGUGAACUUCAUCAUUAUUUUAGUACCAAAGAAGCAACAAAAAUGUGUUAUCUUUUUUGUGGACACAUGAGUAAAAGGAAAUGGAAAAUUAUGGCAGGUUUUAAACAUCAGAGAAGUGUCAAGAUAUUAAAGUUGUGGUUUAGUGCUUCAUUACAACUUUAUAUUAAUUAGAUUAAUGCUUCAUCACAACAGGCAUUAAAAUGCCUGUUGCCUCCUGUAGUUUUUCCUCUUGUUCCCUUCUCUUUUUUCUUGCUAAUAUUUGUUCUUUUCACUGGCGUUGCAUGUCCUAUCAAACUUGUCUAUUCUUCUUCUGUUUUAUACAUCCCAUUGCAACACCUCUGUCCUCAUCAUCUUAUGUACUUUGUCAGUGUUUGAGUUCCCUAGCUGUCUUUUUUUACUCCUGGUGAUUUGUCAGAGGUAAAAGAAAGUAGAAUCUUCAAAGACAUUGGAUACAGACCUGUAAUACUUUUCCACUUAAGUCAGUGUGUAUUGUCUGAUUUUUCUGGGGCUUGUAGCUUGGCAAAGUAUGAAUGCCUCUCUAGGGAACUUCAGUGAGUGAAAGUGCUGUUUUUCAAGUUCUUUUUUCAAAGGAUGUAGGUAACUGAUUUUUUAAAAUGAAAUAACUGAGAGUCCAUAUGAAGUAAGCAAGCUGUUAUCCCCCCGUAAUUCUUAAAAAUCACAAGUUCAUUUGAAACACUGACUCUCCCUUUUUAUCCUUUGAUUUAAUUCUGAAAAUGACACUUACUCCAGAAAAUAUCAGCCCACACAAUCAAGCUGAAAAGGGUUUCAUGAUGGAAAAAGUUAGGAAAGCUUAACAGCAGGUGUCAGUGUGAACUCUGCCUUUCUAAUUAAGGGUGAAGCCAAUCUGACUAAGAAGUUUCAGCACCAUCGCAUAAUAUUUUCAGUUGUGGAUCUUAAAAACUCUUAUUAUUCAAAAGUGCUUUCCAAAUAUUGUUCUUUCACAUGUCCAAUAGUUACCAUAUCGUAAUCAGGCUAUUUUUCUCUCUUUUCAGCAAUUUUCACUAGCAGCAGCCCCAUAAUAAAAACCUUCAAAUCAAAUAAAAACCUUACCUCUGAAAGCAGAAACCAUAAUAGUAAAUAUUUGCUGUUAUACAAUAUCUAUUGAAUUUGUUUUAUAGAAGAAUGUGAUAAAUAAGUGAUAAGGUUGAUUGGAAAGACAGACUAGACUAUGAAAACACAAAAUACAAUUUUGAAAAGAUUUCAAGAAUGGUAUAGUCAGUAGAAAAAAAAACCCUAGAGCAGAAAGUCACUGAGGCAUGUAGUAAUAAAAAUCAAUUGUCUGCAGAGCUGGCUGAACAAGCUGUAAGCUGUUAAUGAAAGGAAUUAAAUUAGAAUUACCUGGAAACUAGUAAAGUGGGGGGUUAAGGUAGAAGAAAUGAACACUUUCAUAAUGAAAUCCAUUUAGGUAUUCCUUCUUCCCUCCUGCCUUUAGUCAAUAGCUUUGCUCAUCCAUAUCUGUGCUAGCUGCAAAAAGAUAUUUUGCAUUUUUUAACAUCUUUGGAGUGCCUGCCUAUAUUUCUUCUCCACAUAUUCCAGUUAUUGCACUGUUGGGCUAUUUAGUCCUUUUUUUUUUUUUUUUCUGAGAAGAGAGGCAUCGAAACUUCUACCAACAUGUUUGUUUUACAGCAUGGUCUAUGUGAAAGCUGAGGAUAAUCACAGAUGAGGCAUCCCUGUGUAUUUAUUCUAUUACUAGAUAUGAGACAAAAAACUCAGCCAAUCUAGAAGAUAUUUUUAAGAUCAUGAUUCUUUCAAAAGUUGUGAUAUACACACACACAUAUAUGUCUAUCUGUGUGUGUAUUUAUAUAUAUAUAUUCAUACAUACAUACAGAUAUAUAUAUAUAUAUGCAGAUGAGCAAGGCUAGAAGGCAGCCAGGUUCUCCCAGCUGAGAAUUCCCCUGGCUGCCAGCUUUGGCUGGCACCUACCACACAUUGCUCCUAUGUCACUGAGCUGCAAGUACCUUGUCCUUCAGCUGUACUCAGUCAGUGCAUGUAGAGAAACUUUCACUAGGAUAUAGAACAGUGUGAGUCUGUCUUGUGAAUCAGUCAUCUGUAACUACCUCCAUCAUUCUGCCUCCUCUGCACCCCCAAAAACUUUCCAUCUUUUUGGCUGUGUGUUUUGACUGGCUACCAUGAUGUACUGCCUGAGUGACUCCAGAAUGGGAAUGUAUUAUCUUCCUGAUCACUGUGAGGAAGAAAAGCUCUGCUACUCCUCAUAUUACACAUAGGGAGUUAAGGCCACACUGUUUCUACUGACUCCGAAAUCAAUGUUUGAAUUCAAAGAACCAAAUCACCUGAGCUGUGUCUGCACAGCCUGGAAGAGCACAGGUAUGAGCCAGUCCUGCUCUCUGCCUUAGAUUUCUUCUAUGGAGAGACAUUUUGAUUUUCCAGAUGAAAAACAAAGCAACCUGCUUUUGUCAACCUGCAGGCAGUCCCCAGAGAAUUUUGCCUGUGAUCCCAAGUGACAAGGCAGUGUAAAUACAGCAGCAAUUUAAAAGCCUGAGCUAUUACAGUAAUUAGGUGUCCAUAAUUUCAGCACAGCGCAACUAAAUUUUAUGAGAUAUGGACUCAAGGGUGGCAUCCAAAGCCCAGAUUUUGGGGACUAAACAAAGUUUGGAAACAUCAUGUUCUGAGGAGUCAUUUGGAAUUAUCCCAAAGGUACCAGGAAAAAGGUUUGUCUGAGAACUCAUUCUGUUUGAGACUUGCAUGACUAUACUCAGACUACAAGCUAAGAAUCUAGAUGUCCUCUGAAAGUACCUACAAGUGGGAAGGGAGCCAAGUAAGCUUUGGUUGUACUGUACCAUCUAUCCCAAUGGCUAGAGCAUUCAGCCUGCAAAUGGGAACCUCUGUCCCUUCCAAUUUGUCUCCCUGCAGCUGGAAGUGUUUAAAAUCAUCAUCUCUUUGGGGUUGUCUUUACCAUCAGUGUAGCUGGUGGUCUUCUUAAAUGGAUUGUACUGGAGGCUGAGAAGAGGCAUAAUCCUGUAGCCUAACAGGUUAGGCAUUAUGGACUGGGCUUUCAACAAUUUGUCCAAAACAAGAGAGGCACUCUGCAGAAGCACAAAAUAACGCUCUGCCCUCUUGGCUUCCAGACUUGCGGUGGUGGGCACUCAUCUCUGGCUACUGCUAGCAUUGGAUAUUCUACCUGCAUCACAUUUAAAUGGAACUCCAGCCUGACAUACUGCAUGGAAUAAUCAAUUUACAGAAAAAACAAGCUGCACCUCAAACAGUUUCUGAAUUUAGUUGAAUUUUGUGUUGCAUCUGUUGCUAUGAGAUUAAAAUAAAAGGGGAAGGUGGCUUGUUAAAACAAAUAGAAAAAACCCUCAUCCAUAUGGAUUUGGUUAUCAAAAGUUAUUGUAACUGAAUGAAACCUCAUUAACUUGGUCUUUACUUUCCUUAAGCACCCUACUUGCCCUGAGCACUGCAGAGAAGGGGUGAGAUGUAUGUCUAAAUCAACAACUAACACCAUUCCCAAGAAUAUUCCCAGGCCCAGAAGCCAAUUGGCAUAGACUGACUCACAAGUACCCAGUAAACAAACACAGCCAGCCUCCAGAGCAGGCUGACUGGAUGCAAAUCCUUUGGUGCUAAUGAUCUGUGGGAUGUUGAAAUUCCAUGCCUGGGAAUUGCUUGGGAGACAGCUAGUUGGUACAGGCCAAAAGCAUGUCGGGGACUGCUCUAAUAAUUUCAGACCUGUCAUGUUCCAGUGUCUGGGAAGAGUCACAGGUACUGUUUAAUUCACUGGUGUAGACAUAGCCUUAGGUUCACUGGUGUACUCCACAAAUACUUUCCAGCUGCUGAGAUGAUAAAGACUGGUGAUUAUUAGUGGGGAAAUAUUAAAAAUUAAAUCUUGGCUCAAAUUAUUUCUUUGUUGU